AUUGAACGCUGGCGGCAGGCCUAACACAUGCAAGUCGAGCGAGCGGCGGACGGGUGAGUAAUGUAUGGGGACUGCCCGAUAGAGGGGGAUAACUACUGGAAACGGGGGCUAAUACCGCAUACUAUCGGAUAACCCAUAGGGGAUUAGCGAGUAGGCGGGGUAAAGGCUCACCUAGGAGACGAUCUCUAGCUGGUCUGAGAGGAUGAUCGGCCAAACUGGGACUGAGACAGGCCCCAGACUCCUACGGAGGCAGCAGUGGGGAAUAUUGCACAUUGGGCGAAAGCCUGAUGCGGCAAUGCCGCGUGUAUGAAGAAGGCCUUAGGGUUGUAAAGUACUUUCAGCGGGGAGGCGUUACCCGCAGAGGAAGCACCGGCUAACUCCGUGCCAGCAGCCGCGGUAAUUC
rnacentral:rRNA from 1 species